CGCUUUGGUCAUUUAGCUGUAUGAAUCCGUUGAUUUGAUCAUAAAGCUAGAUUACCAGAGCU
rnacentral:pre_miRNA from 1 species